GUGUUUUGUUCUUGCAUCCUUAACCAUACUGUUUUUCUUCCUCUAUGGGAGAAGACUUCCUCUCACAACAUUUAAAUGCUUCUGCCUUUACGGUUAUUUUACUGCCAUACCUAUGGGACUUCUUACUGUAUUUGCCUAGCUGAGGACCAAACCCAGGGCCUUGCACUUACUAGGGUUCCCUGAGCCUUGAGGAGACUGACUGAUGGAGACAUCCCUUUUAGAGUUCAGUGUUCCAAGGUCUUUCACUGUUUGCGUAACGUUUCAAUGUGGGUAUCUGUAUUUGUUCCCCUCUGCUGUGGGAGGAAGCUUUGCUGAUUAUGGCUGAGCAAGACAGUUGGCUCUUCCCCUAAGAUUGGUGCCACUAUUGCACAAAUCUUG